AUUGAACGCUGGCGGCAGGCCUAACACAUGCAAGUCGAGCGGAUGAAGGGAGCUUGCUCCUGGAUUCAGCGGCGGACGGGUGAGUAAUGCCUAGGAAUCUGCCUGGUAGUGGGGGAUAACGUCCGGAAACGGGCGCUAAUACCGCAUACGUCCUGAGGGAGAAAGUGGGGAACUUCGGACCUCACGCCAUCAGAUGAGCCUAGGUCGGAUUAGCUAGUUGGUGGGGUAAAGGCCUACCAAGGCGACGAUCCGUAACUGGUCUGAGAGGAUGAUCAGUCACACUGGAACUGAGACACGGUCCAGACUCCUACGGGAGGCAGCAGUGGGGAAUAUUGGACAAUGGGCGAAAGCCUGAUCCAGCCAUGCCGCGUGUGUGAAGAAGGUCUUCGGAUUGUAAAGCACUUUAAGUUGGGAGGAAGGGCAGUAAGUUAAUACCUUGCUGUUUUGACGUUACCAACAGAAUAAGCACCGGCUAACUUCGUG
rnacentral:rRNA from 1 species